UCUAAAAUCAAAAAACAUUUCACCUCUUCCGGCAGAUUCUCAGUUUCUUCUCUUGAAAUUUUUUCACUGCAGAUACAGUCGGAGAAAUGAAAGAGUACCCAUGAACGAUCACAUAUUAUUAACAUAAUUAAUCUAUCUCUAUCGUUUGUUAUUUAUAGAAAAAGAACAGCAAAUACAAAAUAUGUGAUUGUACCUGUUUGACGUGACCGUUCAUGAGUUCCCCAAAAUCUAAAAUGGGAAUUAAGGUACCUAAGGAGAAUUAAAAGAAAAGGGUACCUACAAGAAAAAAUUGCUUUUUUAUUCCUCUUGAAAUGAUUUAUAAGACACUGGACUGUCUUAUAUUCUACAAAUACUAGAAUCAGCUGAGAGAAGUGGUCUACAAAAACCCAGGAAGGAAACGGAAUAUGUGGCUACGAAAGGCAAAAGAAAGGUUUACAAAGCAAAUGUGACACAUUUUUUUGAAAUAUUUAGGAAUAUCAGUAAAUUGCAUUAAAAAAAUGUAUGAAAAGAUUUUGUUCAAUAAAAAUGUUUAUAUUUA